GAUGGAACUUGGACUGCAGACCG
rnacentral:siRNA from 1 species